rnacentral:rRNA from 1 species
CUUGGUGAUUUUAGCGAGAGGGCAACACUUGAUCCCAUCCCGAACUCAAUAGUUAAGCCUCUCAGCGCCGAUGAUACUAUGAUUUAUUAUGGGAAAGUAGGACAUUGCCAAGA